GGCUGGUCCGAAGGUUAUCUCACUUGAUUGUUCACAGUCAGUUACAGAUUGAACUCCUUGUUCUACUACUUUCCCCCUUCUCACUACUGCACUUGACUAGUCUUUA
rnacentral:Y_RNA from 1 species